rnacentral:lncRNA from 1 species
GAAGUAGCCAACUGCCACUUUGCAACUGCCACUCUGCAACGGCUUCCCACACCACCAUGAUGUGGUGAAGCCAAGGGGGUCUUUGCAAGACCCUGAACAGUGUUGUUGAGAUGAUUAGACUCCAGAGCUAUGAGGUUUAAUCAGCCUCUUUGCUUUGUAAGCCGGGACAACAAGUGUACUCUACUGUGUCUAGUCGGAACUGUGUUUCUGCAACGCUAACCAGAACAACUGAUUCACUACUUCGACGACUUCCAGGAGAAAUACUAUGGAAGGAAUUUGAGGUCGGCUUCUUUGGGCAGAUGAAAUUCUUCCCGGUGUAGUCUCCUCCCCUCUUCAUUUACAACAGAAGUUAACAUCUGUGUUCCCUACUUUCCUUAGUUCUCAGACAUUUUGUCAUCUGUUACCACAACUAUUUAGUGACUCAACAAGAAUUUCCCUAAAUCACUGUGAGAUCUCAUUUGGAUUUUUAAUAAAC